rnacentral:rRNA from 1 species
GAUGAACGCUGACAGAAUGCUUAACACAUGCAAGUCUACCAAGAAUCACUUCGGUGAGGAAUGGUGGCGGACGGGUGAGUAACGCGGAAAUAAUCUGCCCUUUAGACUGGGAUAUCCUUUGGAAACGAAGGUUAAUACCGGAUAUUAUGAGAUGGACGCGUGUUCAACUUAGGAAAGCUAAAUGCACUAGAGGAGGAGUUUGCGUCCCAUGAGCUAGUUGGUGAGGUAAAGGCUCACCAAGGCCACGAUGGGUAGCGGGCCUGGGAGGGUGAACGGCCACAAGGGAACUGAGACACGGUCCUUACUCCUACGGGAGGCAGCAGUGGGGAAUAUUGGACAAUGGACCAAAAGUCUGAUCCAGCAAUUCUGUGUGCACGAUGAAGGUCUUCGGAUUGUAAAGUGCUUUCAGUAGGGAAGAAAAAAAUGACGGUACCUACAGAAGAAGCGACGGCUAAAUAUGUGCCAGCCGCCGCGGUAA